rnacentral:lncRNA from 1 species
UCUAAAGUACUAGAGUUUACUGUGUGGUAUGUGUGGUGCAGAACGAUGCGAGGUGGCUACAUAAGAGCUCUCUCCUCGAUUGUGAUGGCUUCGACCUUUGUAAGACAUGAUCUAUAAUCUUUAAAAAUAAAAAUAAAUAGAUUCAUGGAUUAAUUAUAUAAAUUAUAAUAUAGUAAUGUAAGAUUUAAAAUGAUGUAAGAUAAGUAUUUAAAAUGAUUCAAGAUAAUGCAAGAAAUAAAAUGAUACCAGAAGGUCGGGAGAAUAUAAGCGACCGGAGGUGGUGUUCCUACGGUUGACUACUUCUAUCAUGAGGAGAGGUGGGGUCGACUCCUACUUUCCUAGGGUUGACUACUCAUCUUCCUCUUCUGAUGUUGGGUACCUUUCGGAUUCUUCUUUCGAUUCCUUUUCUUCCUCCUCUUCUUCUACUUCUUCCUCUUCUUUCUCUUUUUCACCUUCUCAGAUCGGAUAAUCUUUAAAAACAAACUCAGUAUGAUCUACCUCCUCAUAUUAGCCAUCAUGUAGAAAAAUUUUUGGAGCAUCCAACUCUGCAUCUAUUAAAUGUUGAUGAAC